AUUGAACGCUGGCGGCAGGCCUAACACAUGCAAGUCGAGCGGCAGCGGAAAGUAGCUUGCUACUUUGCCGGCGAGCGGCGGACGGGUGAGUAAUGUCUGGGAAACUGCCUGAUGGAGGGGGAUAACUACUGGAAACGGUAGCUAAUACCGCAUGACCUCGAAAGAGCAAAGUGGGGGAUCUUCGGACCUCACGCCAUCGGAUGUGCCCAGAUGGGAUUAGCUAGUAGGUGAGGUAAUGGCUCACCUAGGCGACGAUCCCUAGCUGGUCUGAGAGGAUGACCAGCCACACUGGAACUGAGACACGGUCCAGACUCCUACGGGAGGCAGCAGUGGGGAAUAUUGCACAAUGGGCGCAAGCCUGAUGCAGCCAUGCCGCGUGUGUGAAGAAGGCCUUAGGGUUGUAAAGCACUUUCAGCGAGGAGGAAGGCACCAUACUUAAUACGUGUGGUGAUUGACGUUACUCGCAGAAGAAGCACCGGCUAACUCCGUGCCAGCAGCCGCGGUAAUACGGAGGGUGCAAGCGUUAAUCGGAAUUACUGGGCGUAAAGCGCACGCAGGCGGUUUGUUAAGUCAGAUGUGUAAUCCCCGCGCUUAACGUGGGAACUGCAUUUGAAACUGGCAAGCUAGAGUCUUGUAGAGGGGGGUAGAAUUCCAGGUGUAGCGGUGAAAUGCGUAGAGAUCUGGAGGAAUACCGGUGGCGAAGGCGGCCCCCUGGACAAAGACUGACGCUCAGGUGCGAAAGCGUGGGGAGCAAACAGG
rnacentral:rRNA from 1 species